rnacentral:rRNA from 1 species
CCUUGCCUACGGGAGGCAGCAGUAUUUCCUCUUCCCCAAUUUUCGAAAGCCUGAUGGAGCAACGCCGCGUGGGUGAAGAAGGUCUUCGGAUCGUAAAACCCUGUUGUUAGAGAAGAAAGUGCGUGAGAGUAACUGUUCACGUUUCGACGGUAUCUAACCAGAAAGCCACGGCUAACUACGUGCCAGCAGCCGCGGUAAUACGUAGGUGGCAAGCGUUAUCCGGAUUUAUUGGGCGUAAAGGGAACGCAGGCGGUCUUUUAAGUCUGAUGUGAAAGCCUUCGGCCUAACCGGAGUAGGGCAUUGGG